AACGAACGCUGGCGGCAUGCCUAACACAUGCAAGUCGAACGAGACCUUCGGGUCUAGUGGCGCACGGGUGCGUAACGCGUGGGAACCUGCCCUUAGGUUCGGAAUAACUCCCCGAAAGGGGUGCUAAUACCGGAUAAUGUCUUCGGACCAAAGAUUUAUCGCCUUUGGAUGGGCCCGCGUUGGAUUAGCUAGUUGGUAGGGUAAAAGCCUACCAAGGCGACGAUCCAUAGCUGGUCUGAGAGGAUGAUCAGCCACACUGGGACUGAGACACGGCCCAGACUCCUACGGGAGGCUGCAGUGGGGAAUAUUGGACAAUGGGCGAAAGCCUGAUCCAGCAAUGCCGCGUGAGUGAUGAAGGCCUUAGGGUUGUAAAGCUCUUUUACCCGGGAUGAUAAUGACAGUACCGGGAGAAUAAGCUCCGGCUAACUCCG
rnacentral:rRNA from 1 species